AGCAGGGUGGCUUAGUGGAAAGAGCACAGGCUGGGAAGUCAGAGGUCAUAGGUUCUAAUCCUGGCUCCGCUA
rnacentral:tRNA from 1 species